CUUUGAAUGUUAAUUCCAUAUUUCAGGGCAUAUAUAUAUAUCCUAAAAUACAAAGCUAUGCAUACAUUUGAUUUAUCUUCCACAGGAACAAAUGUGACUUGGAAACUCUGGCUAUUUUUUCCACCUAAAAAGCAGUCUGUUUCAUCAGAAGAAAUAAUUCCAUGUUCACAAGGAGGAGAUGCUGGAAGAGCAGCUGCUGGAAAUGUGAGCCUCUUGGAGAAUAUCUGAAGACUCUCAUUUAAAGAAGAAGAAAUUAAGACUUAAAGGAAUAAUGUUUCUUUUUUGUAAGUGCACUUGAACCCAAAUCUUUUUUGUACCAGGGAUCAAACUCAGGACCUUGUGCUUGCGAGGCAGGCAGCGGAACCACUGAGCUAAAUCCCUGGUGAACUCAAAUCUUUUAACUCACUUUUAGGG
rnacentral:lncRNA from 1 species